UCACAUAGCUCAGUUGGUAGAGCAUGAGACUCUUAAUCCCAGGGUUGUAGGUUUGAGCCCUACAUUGGAUGAA
rnacentral:tRNA from 1 species